CAGUCGCCGCGAUAAUACGUAGGUCCCGAGCGUUGUCCGGAUUUAUUGGGCGUAAAGCGAGCGCAGGCGGUUAGAUAAGUCUGAAGUUAAAGGCUGUGGCUUAACCAUAGUACGCUUUGGAAACUGUUUAACUUGAGUGCAAGAGGGGAGAGUGGAAUUCCAUGUGUAGCGGUGAAAUGCGUAGAUAUAUGGAGGAACACCGGUGGCGAAAGCGGCUCUCUGGCUUGUAACUGACGCUGAGGCUCGAAAGCGUGGGGAGCAAACAGGAUUAGAUAUCCCAGUAGUCCCUGUCUCUUAUACA
rnacentral:rRNA from 1 species